rfam:Drosophila sechellia strain Rob3c scaffold_3 genomic scaffold, whole genome shotgun sequence.
UGAAGUUUUCAAUUCCGUAGUGCAUUGCAGUGUGUUUAAUUAUUUACUGCAAGCGCUGCGGAUUUGGCAACUUUGAC